rnacentral:tRNA from 2 species
CCGACCUUAGCUCAGUUGGUAGAGCGGAGGACUGUAGUUGGGGGUGUAAACCUUUCAGAUAUCCUUAGGUCACUGGUUCGAAUCCGGUAGGUCGGA